UUAAGAAGUCUCUGUUCAUGUCCUUUGCCUACAUUUUAAUGGGGUUGCUUUUUGCUUGUUGAUUUGUUGAAGUUGCUUUUGUUUCUUUCUUUUUUGGAAAGACAGGGUCUCACUCUGUUGCCCAGACUGGAGUGCAGUAGCAUGAUCCUAGCUCACUCUAUCCUUAAACUCCAGGGCUCAAGGGAUCCUCCUGCUUUAGCCUACUGAGUAGCUGGGACUACAGGCACGUGCCACUAUGGCCAGCUGAUUUUUUUCUUGUCCUUCCUUCCUUCCUCCGUUCCUUCCUUCCUUCUUCCCUUCCUCCCUCCCUUCCUCUCUUUCUCUCCUUCUCUUUCUUUCUCUUUCCUUCCUUCCUUCUUUCCUUCCUUCCUUCCUUCCUUCUUUCCUUCCUUCCUUCCUUCCUUCCUUCCUUCCUUCCUUCUUUCCUUCCUUCCUUCCUUCCUUCCUUCCUUCCUUCCUUCCUUCCUUUCCUUCUUUCCUUCUUUCUCUCACUUUUUUUUUUGAGUCAGAUUCUUGCUAUGCUGCCCGGGCUGGUCUUGAACCCCUGGCUUCAAGCAAUCUUCCAGCUUCAGCCACACAAAGUGUGGGGAUUACAGAAGGUAACAUCAUCACAGAUUCAGGAGGAAAGAAACGCUUUCUGUUGAAGUUUUGAUAUCAUGUCUGAAAUGAGAAGGAAACAGCUUGCUCCCUUGGAUCCGUGGUUCCGCCUGUGGCCUCUAGAGGGCGAUGUUGCAUCAAGUAGGCAUCUGUUUUCAUCGCAGACCAUCCUCAUCCACUGAGCCUCCUCCCUGCAGCUGGCUGAUGUAGCUCAUUGAUGUCUGUGUAGAUAGGGAGCUGUGACGAGAGCAAGAGGUCAGAACACAUCCAGGCUCCUUAAGGGAAAGCCUCUUUCUGUUUCUGAAACUUUUCAAAGCCAGGGACUUGUCCAAUCCAACCUCCUCACAGCUCCUAGCUCCUGAGGCUCAGCGCCCUUGGCUUCUGUCCGCCCAGCUCAAGGUCCUGCAGCAUUGCCACUGCUCAGCCAUGCUCCUGCUGCUCGUCCCAGCGUUCCAGGUGAUUUUUACCCUGGGAGGAACCAGAGCCCAGUCUGUGACCCAGCUUGACAGCCAAGUCUUUGAAGAAGCCCCUGUGGAGCUGAGGUGCAACUACUCAUCGUCUGUUUCAGUGUAUCUCUUCUGGUAUGUGCAAUACCCCAACCAAGGACUCCAGCUUCUCCUGAAGUAUUUAUCAGGAUCCACCCUGGUUAAAGGCAUCAACGGUUUUGAGGCUGAAUUUAAGAAGAGUGAAACUUCCUUCCACUUGAGGAAACCCUCAGUCCAUAUAAGCGACGCGGCUGAGUACUUCUGUGCUAGCAGAAUUGACCAGGUGGGGCUGCAAAGUGAAUGGAGAAAGUGUCGGAUAGAAGAAGAGAGAUGGAAAUAAGCUGGGGUGGCCAUCAUAUACACGUGCUAUUUCUCUAUCAACCAAAGUCUCAUUGGAGACAUUUUAUAUGUUCAUGAUGACUAUAUGUCCUAUGUUAACAGAAUUCUCUUAAUUUAAUUGUAUUGUAUUUACUGCUUUAAGGGUGAUUAAAUAAACGAUGCAUUCGAUGAGA